UACGAAGGGUGCAAGCGUUACUCGGAAUUACUGGGCGUAAAGGGUGCGUAGGUGGUUUGUUAAGUCUGCUGUGAAAUCCCCGGGCUUAACCUGGGAACUGCCAUCGAAACUGGCGUACUAGAGUGUGGCAGAGGGGGGUGGAAUUCCGCGUGUAGCAGUGAAAUGCGUAGAUAUGCGGAGGAACACCGAUGGCGAAGGCAGCCCCCUGGGCUAACACUGACGCUCAGGCACGAAAGCGUGGGGAGCAAACAGG
rnacentral:rRNA from 1 species